AUGAAAAAUGUGGCCGCGAGCCACAUUUCGACGAAUUCUUUCGACGAAUUCUUCACUUGCUGUAUGGGACCACCGGUGUGCCCCACCACGUCAGACGUGGCAGUGGACAGCAGCUCCGAGAUCACCACCAAGGACUUGAAGAAGAAGGUAGUUGUGGAGGGGGCAGAGAAAAGAAGAGAUGCACCUGCCAAUGGAAAUGCUGAACAUGAGGAAAAUGGGGAGCAGGAGGCUGACAAUGGGGUAGAUGAAGAAGAGGAAGACAGUGGGGAGGAAGAGGAAGAGGAGGAGGAAGAAGGUGACGGUGAGGAAGAGGAUGGAGAUGAAGAUGGGGAAGCUGAGGCUCCUAUGGGCAAGCAGGUAGCUGAGGGUGAUGAGGAUGGCGGUGUCGACACCAAGAAGCAGAAGACCGAGGAGGAUGACUAGACAGCAAAAGGAAACGCUAACCUU